rnacentral:rRNA from 1 species
UGCAGUCGAGGGGUAACAUGAUUGGAGCUUGCUCCGAUUGAUGACGACCGGCGCACGGGUGAGUAACGCGUAUCCAACCUGCCCCAUGCUCUGGGAUAACCUUCCGAAAGGGAGCCUAAUACCGGAUGCAGUGCGACGAUGGCAUCAGAAUUGCACGAAAGAUUCAUCGGCAUGGGAUGGGGAUGCGUCUGAUCAGCUUGUUGGCGGGGUAACGGCCCACCAAGGCGACGAUCAGUAGGGGUUCUGAGAGGAAGGUCCCCCACACUGGUACUGAGACACGGACCAGACUCCUACGGGAGGCAGCAGUGAGGAAUAUUGGUCAAUGGGCGAGAGCCUGAACCAGCCAAGUAGCGUGCAGGAAGACGGCCCUACGGGUUGUAAACUGCUUUUAUGAGGGGAUAAAGUCGGCCACGUGUGGCCGUUUGCAGGUACCUCAUGAAUAAGGACCGGCUAAUUCCGUGCCAGCAGCCGCGGUAAUACGGAAGGUCCGGGCGUUAUCCGGAUUUAUUGGGUUUAAAGGGAGCGUAGGCUGAAGGUUAAGCGUGACGUGAAAUGUACCGGCUCAACCGGUGAAUUGCGUCGCGAACUGGUUUUCUUGAGUGUGCAGAAGGAAGGCGGAAUUCGUGGUGUAGCGGUGAAAUGCUUAGAUAUCACGAAGAACUCCGAUUGCGAAGGCAGCUUUCCGUAGCAUUACUGACGCUGAAGCUCGAAAGCGCGGGUAUCGAACAGGAUUAGAUACCCUGGUAGUCCGCGCGGUAAACGAUGGAUACCCGCUGUCCGGCCAAUAUGGUUGGGUGGCCAAGCGAAAGCAUUAAGUAUCCCACCUGGGGAGUACGCCGGCAACGGUGAAACUCAAAGGAAUUGACGGGGGCCCGCACAAGCGGAGGAACAUGUGGUUUAAUUCGAUGAUACGCGAGGAACCUUACCCGGGCUUGAACUGCAGGGGAACGAUACAGAGAUGUUGAGGUCCUUCGGGACUCCUGUGGAGGUGCUGCAUGGUUGUCGUCAGCUCGUGCCGUGAGGUGUCGGCUUAAGUGCCAUAACGAGCGCAACCCCUCUCGCCAGUUGCCAUCAGGUAGAGCUGGGCACUCUGGUGACACUGCCACCGUAAGGUGUGAGGAAGGUGGGGAUGACGUCAAAUCAGCACGGCCCUUACGUCCGGGGCUACACACGUGUUACAAUGGGGCAUACAGAGAGCCGGUCGUACGCAAGUGCGAUCCAAUCCUAAAAGUGCCUCGUAGUUCGGAUUGGGGUCUGCAACCCGACCCCAUGAAGCUGGAUUCGCUAGUAAUCGCGCAUCAGCCAUGGCGCGGUGAAUACGUUCCCGGGCCUUGUACACACCGCCCGUCAAGCCAUGAAAGCCGGGGGCGCCUGAAGUCCGUGACCGCGAGGAUCGGCC